AUGGACCAAGAGAGGAGAACGAGACAUCUUAAUCACCUGCUUCAGACACCUCCGUCACCUCCACCACCUCCACCACCUCCACCACCUCCGUCACCUCAACCACCUCAACCACCCCCGUCACCUCCACCACCCCCGUCACCUCCACCACCUCCGUCACCUCCACCACCUCCGUCACCUCCACCACCCCCGUCACCUCCACCACCUCCGUCACCUCAACCACCCCGUCACCUCCACCACCCCCGUCACCUCAACCACCCCCGUCACCUCCACCACCCCCGUCACCUCCACCACCCCCGUCACCUCAACCACCCCCGUCACCUCAACCACCUCCACCACCCCCGUCACCUCCACCACCCCCGUCACCUCCACCACCCCCGUCACCUCCACCACCCCCGUCACCUCAACCAUCCCCGUCACCUCCACCACCCCCGUCACCUCCACCACCCCCGUCACCUCCACCACCCCCGUCACCUCAACCACCCCCGUCACCUCCACCACCCCCGUCACCUCAAACUCCCCCGUCUCCUCAAACUCCUCUGUCUCCUCAACCACCUCCGUCUCCUCAACCACCUCCGUCUCCUCAACCACCUCCGUCACCUCAACCACCUCCACCACCUCCGUCACCUCAAACUCCUCCGUCACCUCAACCACCCCCGUCACCUCAACCACCUCCACCACCUCCGUCACCUCAAACUCCUCCGUCACCUCAACCACCCCGUCACCUCAACCACCUCCACCACCUCCGUCACCUCAAACUCCUCCGUCACCUCAACCACCUCCGUCUCCUCAACCACCUCCGUCACCUCAAACUCCUCCGUCUCCUCAAACUCCCCCGUCUCCUCAAACUCCUCCGUCUCCUCAAACUCCUCCGUCUCCUCAACCACCUCCGUCACCUCAACCACCUCCGCACCUCAACCACCUCCGUCACCUCAAGCACCUCCGUCACCUCAAACUCCUCCGUCACCUCAAGCACCUCCGUCACCUCAAACUCCUCCGUCUCCUCAAGCACCUCAAACAUCUAGGAGGUAG
rnacentral:lncRNA from 1 species